rnacentral:lncRNA from 1 species
UUUUUUUUUUGUUUUUUUUAAAGGGUGGUGAGUCUUUGAUCCAGUCUGAGAAAGCUGCACUCGGUGACGACAAACCAGCUCCAGCCUCUCUCUCUCGGUGACUCUGCGAUGCUAAAAAUAAAUAAAUUUAACAGACGCCUUCAAGGGACCAUCAACCCAGCCGCACACUGAGUCGGCACGAGUGCAUGCCAGGCAACGCGCUCAGCUCUCCGGGGCUGCGUCACCAGCUGCAUUGCGACUCCCGCACUUUCAUAUGCUGCAGCCCUCGCCCCCGGCACCUCACAAUGGGACUGCAUUUGGCAGUAGGGUCUUGAAGAGAUGGAUGGGUAAAAUGGAGCCAUAGGGGUGGCCCUCAUCCAAUAGGACCCGUGUCCUUAUAGGAAGAGGAGGUCAGGACACAGACACACACAGGGACGGCCGGGAGGGGACACAGGCAGAGGACAGCGUCCAGAAGCCCAGGAGAGGAGCCUCGGGAGGAACCAGCCCUGCCCACACCUUGGUCUUAGACUUCCGGCCUCCAGAACUGCAAGGAAGUGAGUUUCUGUGGUUUAAGCCACCCAGCCUGCAGAAUUUUGUUAUGGAAGGUUGUAACAAAGUCUUUCUGAAAAAUACAAGCAUUUCAAGCAGAGGCCCUUCACAGCCUGUUACACAACCACUCAAAGUGCACCCUUGUCUUUUGCAAUUUCUCUUGGAAUUGGCUAUGUCACUGGCACUCGCGCCUAGGCCGUCCCGAGGGGUCAGCCCUGGGCACUGUCUCCCUUUCCGGGUGUGGGAACUGGCUGCCGGCGUGGGAACGGCUGCUUGUCCCAGUGGUGCCCACCUGUGGCCACACUGCAAGGCCACCCAGGCCUAGAGAUGUCACUGAGGACUGACCCGGAGACGCCGACCUCAGGGUCCUGGGAGGCUGCGCACUGGCCAUGUUGGAGGUGACCCUCAUGUCACCCAGGUCAAGAGCCACGGGCCCUACACGUCCUCUCCUUCCCUGUCUCCCAGCCGUGGGCCCAGACUGGAUGGCUUUGGCUAAGGAAUCAAUGCAGGUGGAGAAGGAGGCUGACGAUGGAGCCCGGGUGCUCCAGCCUUGAGUGAACAGAGGAGGAACCGACCCUGAGCCUGCACAGCAGCCACGCGGGGGUGCUUUGCGGGGCUUUCCUCUUUGCUUCCGUCCAAAUAAAGUGGCCCUCGUUUGAAAGCCUCUGUGCUGAAUGCUCCCAAUGCCCUCCGAUUCUGUCUAGGAUGUGCCUACAACCAAGGCAGGUGUGUGAAUUCACCCGCACAGCUCACCGUCCUGGGAGGGUGACGCUGGAGGAGGGACGUCCCUACCACCAAGGCAGGUGUGUGAAUUCACCCGCACAGCUCACCGUCCUGGGAGGGUGACGCUGGAGGAGGGACGUCCCUACCACCAAGGCAGGUGUGUGAAUUCACCCGCACAGCUCACCGUCCUGGGAGGGUGACGCUGGAGGAGGGACGUCCCUACCACCAAGGCAGGUGUGUGAAUUCACCCCCACAGCUCACCGUCCUGGGAGGGUGACGCUGGAGGCGGGACGUCCCUACCACCAAGGCAGGUGUGUGAAUUCACCCCCACAGCUCACCAUCCUGGGAGGGUGACGCUGGAGGAGGGACGUCCCUACCACCAAGGCAGGUGUGUGAAUUCACCCGCACAGCUCACCAUCCUGGGAAGGUGACGCUGGAGAAGGGACGUCCCUACCACCAAGGCAGGUGUGUGAAUUCACCCCCACAGCUCACCAUACUGGGAAGGUGACGCUGGAGGAGGGACGUCCCUACCACCAAGGCAGGUGUGUGAAUUCACCCGCACAGCUCACCGUCCUGGGAAGGUGACGCUGGAGGAGGGACGUCCCUACCACCAAGGCAGGUGUGUGAAUUCACCUGCACAGCUCACCGUCCUGGGAGGGUGACGCUGGAGGAGGGACGUCCCUACCACCAAGGCAGGUGUGUGAAUUCACCCCCACAGC